CCUACGGGAGGCAGCAGUGGGGAAUAUUGCACAAUGGGGGAAACCCUGAUGCAGCGACGCCGCGUGAGCGAUGAAGUAUUUCGGUAUGUAAAGCUCUAUCAGCAGGGAAGAAAAUGACGGUACCUGACUAAGAAUCCCCGGCUACCUACGUGCCAGCAUCCGCGGCAAUACGUAGGGGGCAGGCGUUAUCCGGCAUUACUGGGUGUAAAGGGAGCGUAGAAGGUGGUGCAAGCCAGUUGUGAAAGCCCGGGGCUCAACCCCGGGACUGCAUUUGGAACUGUGGUGCUAGAGUGUCGGAGAGGCAGGCGGAAUUCCUAGUGUAGCGGUGAAAUGCGUAGAUAUUAGGAGGAACACCAGUGGCGAAGGCGGCCUGCUGGACGAUGACUGACGUUGAGGCUCGAAAGCGUGGGGAGCAAACAGGAUUAGAUACCCCUGUAGUC
rnacentral:rRNA from 1 species